GGAGGAGUGGCUGAGAGGUCGAAAGCGAAUCACUGCUAAUGAUUCGGCUGGGGAAACCUGGCCCUUGGGUUCGAAUCCCAACUCCUCCGCCA
rnacentral:tRNA from 1 species